rnacentral:rRNA from 1 species
CACGUAGGGUGCGAGCGUUGUCCGGAAUUAUUGGGCGUAAAGAGCUCGUAGGCGGUGUGUCACGUCGGCCGUGAAAACCUGCAGCUUAACUGUGGGCGUGCGGUCGAUACGGGCAUCACUGGAGUUCGGCAGGGGAGACUGGAAUUCCUGGUGUAGCGGUGAAAUGCGCAGAUAUCAGGAGGAACACCGGUGGCGAAGGCGGGUCUCUGGGCCGAUACUGACGCUGAGGAGCGAAAGCGUGGGGAGCGAACAUG